rnacentral:rRNA from 1 species
AGGAAUUGGCGGGCCUCCGCACAAGCGGUGGUGCAUGUGGUUUAAUUCGAUGAUACGCGAGGAACCUUAGCUGGGCUAGAAUGUCAGUGGACCGUGGGUGAAAGCUCACUUUGUAGCAAUACACCGCUGAUAAGGUGCUGCAUGGCUGUCGUCAGCUCGUGCCGUGAGGUGUUGGGUUAAGUCCCGCAACGAGCGCAACCCGCAUCACUAGUUGCCAUCAGGUAACGCUGGGAACUCUAGUGAAACUGCCGUCGUAAGACGUGAGGAAGGAGGGGAUGAUGUCAAGUCAUUAUGGCCUUUAUGCCCAGGGCUACACACGUGCUACAAUGGAGAGGACAAACGGCUGCAACAUAGUGAUAUGAAGCUAAUCCCAAAAACCUCUUCUCAGUUCAGAUUGAAGUCUGCAACUCGACUUCAUGAAGCUGGAAUCGCUAGUAAUCGUAUAUCAGCAAUGAUACGGUGAAUACGUUCCCGGACCUUGCAGACACCGCCGUCAAGCCAUGAAAGCCGGGUGUACCUAAAGUCGGUAACCGAAAGGAGCCGCCUAGGGUAAAACUGGUAAUUGGGGCUAAGUCGUAACAAGGUAGCCGUAUCGGAAGGUG